rnacentral:lncRNA from 1 species
UUGGGGGGUUGACAAACAUGGAUUUCGUACCUCAAUUCCACAUGAUUUGUUGUCAUUUCCCUUCAUAUUUUGCUUGCCAAUGCGUGUUUGUACCCUAAUGUUGAGUUUUAUGAAGAUUUGAUUCCUUGGUGUAGUUUUGGAGUGAUUUCAGGAAAAAUCAAGGAUUAAUUGGAGGAUUUUGAAGACAUGAGAUUUAAGUACG